UGGGUUACCUCUUUUUCAACUCGUUGCAGGCUCUUCCUCUUUGUUAGGAUGUUGCAAGAUUGUGUUAAGAACACUGAGUGGAGCAGGUCAUUAGAGGACUAGUGACAUGGCAGGAUUGUGUGACGGGCUCCUCCUCCUCUUCAUAGGGCCCACCAAUGAGAGACACUUCAGGUGCUGACCUUAUCAGGUGGAGGUCAAUGCCAGGUCUUCACCAUGACAGACUCUUCUGUCACUGUCGCUCUGAGUCUGGCGGGUUAACGGCAGGUCAGAGGAUUUGGUGAUCAGUGGUUCAGUGAGCCGUGAGCCCUGCUGGACAAGCUCUUUGAUAAGGGGACUGCUGCUUCUGUGCUUGCCCACUUCUGAAGCUUGGGUGAGACUGGCACGUUCUGAAAGGCUAAGUCUCAAUUUCUGGGCACUUGCCAGCUGACAUUCCACUGAGACAAGCUAAGGGAGAGAGAGGGAGAGA